GUAGUUGACUCGCGGACUCAGGACACGCUGGCGGCGCGCCUAACACAUGCAAGUCGAACGGGACUAUACUGGAAGAAGUUUUCGGAUGGAUUUCGGUAUAGUUUAGUGGCGGACGGGUGAGUAACACGUGAGCAACCUGCCUUCGAGAGGGGAAUAACGGCUGGAAACGGUCGCUAAUACCGCAUAACAUACUGGGAGGACAUCCUGCUGGUAUCAAAGAUUUAUCGCUCGAAGAUGGGCUCGCGUCCGAUUAGGUAGUUGGUGAGGUAACGGCUCACCAAGCCGACGAUCGGUAGCCGGACUGAGAGGUUGAACGGCCACAUUGGGACUGAGACACGGCCCAGACUCCUACGGGAGGCAGCAGUGGGGGAUAUUGCACAAUGGGGGAAACCCUGAUGCAGCGACGCCGCGUGUGGGAAGACGGUCCUCUGGAUUGUAAACCACUGUCCCCAGGGGCGAAAAUGACGGUACCUGGGGAGGAAGCUCCGGCUAACUACGUG
rnacentral:rRNA from 1 species